CCCCAGGACAUUAGUACAUUUAUGAGACUUAAUAAUAUGGAUACUAUACUCUUUUAAUUUUUGUAGAAAUAUAGUAGUAUUUUCCUUCUACGUGUACAUGUACCAGUUUUCAAUCCUACGGUCAAUUCUUAUUGUCGCCUCAGCCUUGAAUAAAACGGUUAACACAAUUCUCAUGUUCUUAAGAUUAUACCUCUUGAAUUAAAUCCUUUACUAAAUGGAGUCUACUACUUAACUUGGGAAAAAGAGAAUCGACUACCUACCUUAGUAAAACGAGGUUACUCAGUUAUCUUUCGUUAGUGGUAGUGUAGUAUCUUUCGUUAGACUUUGGGAGACGCGAUGUAUUUCGUUCGAUUUGGUGCGGCCUUGUAAACGUCGAUGAGGGAGACAGGGUAUUAUAUUCUCACAAAAAAUGUGAUCAAAUCACAGUUUUUGCGAGAAUAUAAUACCCUGCCUCCCUCAUGAUUUGUCAGUCGGUCCCACAGGUCUACGAUCGUCAAUAUCCCCGUCAUUGGACGGUAUUGUAAUACCUUUAAGGAUACGCCGUAUUUUCCUCUGUACUACUGGAUCGACCCAUGGGUGCUGCUGGGUCUGCGUGUGCGCAGGUCUGUGCUCGUCCCAAGCUCGCCGUGGUUACGUUACGCCUUCGUGUGCCGUUUGGUUGAUUUGUAUAUCGUCCAACGUGCGUGAGAAUCUUAGACUUGUAAUGUUUCAAAAUGUGUAGAGUUGAAUGUUUUUUAAGUCUCUCUCUCCCUCGUCGUUCCCAAGUCCAGGUCUCUGACGUUUUAUCCAAGAGAUACCCGGUCAAACAACAUGCAUCUGUGAAUAAAAUGUGUAUCGUCCAGGGAGUAACUUGUAUAUUUAGGACGAUCCGAUGGGCGGGUGGCCUCCGGAAACGCAGCGUGCUAGCAAAAGUAAGUGUGCUAAAGUGUGGUUGUUCCUAAAAAUGCGACGACAGUUUCAGUACCGGCAACCAGGAGAUACUGAGUAAAUAAAACGAAAAGGCAGGCACUGUCCACCCGGAAUUUACAGGUACCUGGGCCACAUGACCACACAGGGCACACGCAGGACCCACUCUUUCCCAUACUUAGCAUCACGCUCCACUUUUGGAUCGGGGGUUAGGGUAAGUAGAGGUUCGUCGGUUAGGGAGGCGAGCUCGGGACGAGGGGAGGAGGGUACCAGAGGUGACGCGGCGGAGGAGGGGAAGGGAAAAGAGGAGGAGACGAGAGGGGGCCCGGUGGAGGACCGGUUGUAGACGAGGUAGAGCAAGAAGAGGCCGACUUGUCGUCGCUCGGGCGCCUAGACCGGAGGGUCCUCACCUUCUUUGCUCCUCGUCCGCGGCGGGCUACCCCCUCCUCUACCGCGGGUCCCUCUCCCCACCGUCGCCGGGGAGACGGAUGGUGGCUCGAGACCCUCUUUGUACCGCCGCAGCCGUCUCUCGUACCCUCGCUGUUGCCACUGACCUACGGUCCUCGAACUGCUCCAGGUACGGCCGUCGUAGAAACGGGAGUUGGAACGACCGCCGCACCGACAUGUUUGCCGCGGCCAGCUCCCGCACUCACUAGCUGUUUCCUUCGUGUUCCUUUUCUCGUUCGGUUAUGUAACUACCUAACCCGCUGAACAAGGAUGAAAAGACCCUCGUUUUUCAACCCGAUAUGUCAGACGUGAUGAUACGAAACCUUUAUAUCGUAUACUGCUCGUCUGCCCAUUUCUCCAACUUCAACCUAGACGUCCCGUACCAGGUGACCGGUUAAGAAGAAGAGAUGGACCUCUUCACGAUUCGAGGUGACUUAAACCAGUACAACCCGUGGUGGCAGUAGUAUGGUUCGUACGAACAAGGAGUUUACCCUCCACCUUUACUCCUCUUUCGAGCCCAUUAGGUCUGUGAGAAGAAGUAGUGGCCGUAUUUGUGGAAUGACGUUUGUAAGAAGCACAGAAGUGAGGGCAGUACUACCCACCGAGGAUGUGGAAACGGUACGGUUGGUAGAGGUAGUAGAACCGGCUUGCGAUACUGUCACACCGUCUAGGAGCACUCCUCAAUUUCCUGACUAACCAUCGAGACGUACGGCAACCAUAUAACUACUACUGAACUGAGUCUAGUUAAUAAAGGUACGAUCGUUUUCGAAAGUCGGAUGUUCGUACGUCGACAGGAAGGUCCAAUAGUCCUAAUUAGUACGGAAGUUCGGAUUCGAUCCAGGGAAACCCUAAACCACGAUGAAGUGUACGAAGACCUCGCAGUAGAAGACAACUUUCAAUACCGCUCCGUAACGGACAAGAGUGUAUAAAAGGAUACCAGGGUGGUACGUGCGGGAGUAGUUUCCUACAUGUGUUGAGUGUACCAAAUAGGAGUGGACCGCUCGCCGAGACCUACUCUACUUGUGGGGAUAUAGAUGUGACCUACCUUUCCCUGUCCGAGAACACCAAUUUGUGGAUCGUUUAGUGGUACGGGAUUCUCACGAGUAACGUUUGAGAAACGAAGCGGAAGGUUCUGGUUCCCUCGACG
rnacentral:rRNA from 1 species